AGUGAACGCUGGCGGUAGGCCUAACACAUGCAAGUCGAACGGCAGCACAGUAAGAGCUUGCUCUUACGGGUGGCGGGUGGCGGACGGGUGAGGAAUACAUCGGAAUCUACUUUUUCGUGGGGGAUAACGUAGGGAAACUUACGCUAAUACCGCAUACGACCUACGGGUGAAAGCAGGGGAUCUUCGGACCUUGCGCGAUUGAAUGAGCCGAUGUCGGAUUAGCUAGUUGGCGGGGUAAAGGCCCACCAAGGCGACGACCCGUAGCUGGUCUGAGAGGAUGAUCAGCCACACUGGAACUGAGACACGGUCCAGACUCCUACGGGAGGCAGCAGUGGGGAAUAUUGGACAAUGGGCGCAAGCCUGAUCCAGCCAUACCGCGUGGGUGAAGAAGGCCUUCGGGUUGUAAAGCCCUUUUGUUGGGAAAGAAAAGCAGCAGGUUAAUACCCCGCUGUUCUGACGGUACCCAAAGAAUAAGCACCGGCUAACUUCGUG
rnacentral:rRNA from 1 species